rnacentral:rRNA from 1 species
GGGCAAGCGGCAGCUUACCAUGCAAGUCGAGGGGCAUCGCGGAAGUAGCAAUACAUCUGGCGGCGACCGGCGGAAGGGUGCGUAACGCGUGAGCAACAUACCCGUUACAAGGGGAUAACCGGAGGAAACUUCGCCUAAUACCCUAUAGGAUGGUAAUCUGCAUGGAUUGCUAUUAAAAUCUUUUGGAGGUGACGGAUUGGCUCGCGUCCCAUUAGCUAGUUGGAGUGGUAACGGCACACCAAGGCGACGAUGGGUAGGGGUUCUGAGAGGAAGGUCCCCCACAAUGGAACUGAGACACGGUCCAUACUCCUACGGGAGGCAGCAGUGAGGAAUAUUGGUCAAUGGGCGGAAGCCUGAACCAGCCAUGCCGCGUGCGGGAAGGCGGCCCUAUGGGUUGUAAACCGCUUUUGUAUUGGAGCAAUAAUUACUACGAGAUAGUGAGAUGAGAGUACAAUACGAAUAAGCAUCGGCUAACUCCGUGCCAGCAGCCGCGGUAAUACGGAGGAUGCAAGCGUUAUCCGGAUUCAUUGGGUUUAAAGGGUGCGUAGGCGGACUGUUAAGUCAGGGGUGAAAGGCCGUUGCUCAACGACGGGAGUGCCCUUGAUACUGGCGGACUAGAGUGUUCCUGCCGUGGGAGGAAUGAGUGGUGUAGCGGUGAAAUGCAUAGAUAUCACUCAGAACACCGAUUGCGAAGGCAUCUCACGAAGGGGCGACUGACGCUGAGGCACGAAAGCGUGGGGAUCGAACAGGAUUAGAUACCCUGGUAGUCCACGCUGUAAACGAUGAUGACUAACCGCCGGCGAUAAAUAGAUCGGUGGCCAAGCGAAAGCGAUAAGUCAUCCACCUGGGGAGUACGUUCGCAAGAAUGAAACUCAAAGGAAUUGACGGGGGCCCGCACAAGCGGAGGAACAUGUGGUUUAAUUCGAUGAUACGCGAGGAACCUUACCUGGGCUCGAACGGUUGGUGAACGAAGUAGAGAUACUGAGGUCCGCAAGGACGCCAAUCGAGGUGCUGCAUGGUUGUCGUCAGCUCGUGCCGUGAGGUGUUGGCUCAAGUGCCAUAACGAGCGCAACCCCUGCUUUCAGUUACCAGCACGUAGAGGUGGGGACUCUGGAAGGACUGCCACCGCAAGGUGAGAGGAAGGGGAGGAUGACGUCAAAUCAGCACGGCCCUUACGUCCGGGGCGACACACGUGUUACAAUGGCGGUUACAGAGGGAGGCCACCCUGUGAAGGGGCGCAGAUCUCGAAAAGCCGCCUCAGUUCGGACUGGAGUCUGCAACUCGACUCCACGAAGUUGGAUUCGCUAGUAAUCGCGCAUCAGCCAUGGCGCGGUGAAUACGUUCCCGGGCCUUGUACACACCGCCCGUCAAGCCAUGGAAGCCUGGGGCGCUUGAAGACCGUGCCCGUAAGGAGCGGUCUAGCGAAGCAGACUG